AUCCUCUCUGGCCUCUUUUGGCUAAGAUCAUGUGUAGUAUCUGUUCUUAUAACUGUGAGAAGUUAUAUAUGGGCUAUUGCCCUUAAUUCUCAUUCAAUUUCUCUCGCCUGCUUCACCUCUGCAGCUUGCUGCAAGUGAUAGCACGAUGUCGCUGCCCUCACACUACCGGCUUCUGAUGUCAAGGCUU
rnacentral:snRNA from 1 species